CAUCCAAGUUGAAACGGGAAGUUCUUUUUGGAAAUUUUUUGGAAGGGAAAAAAGGAAUGGAAAGUAGCGGACGGGUGAGUUAACGCGUGAGAAACCUGCCUCACACAAGGGGAUAGCCAUUGGAAACGGUGAUUAAUACCCUAUGACAUGGACGCUUCGCAUGGAGCAGCCAUUAAAGUGUUAGCGGUGUGAGAUGGUCUCGCGUCUGAUUAGCUAGUUGGUGAGAUAACAGCUCACCAAGGCGACGAUCAGUAGCCGGCUUGAGAGAGUGAACGGCCACACUGGAACUGAGACACGGUCCAGACUCCUACGGGAGGCAGCAGUGGGGAAUAUUGCACAAUGGAGGAAACUCUGAUGCAGCGACGCCGCGUGAACGAUGAAGGCCUUCGGGUCGUAAAGUUCUGUCCUUGGGGACGAUAAUGACGGUACCCAAGGAGGAAGCCCCGGCUAACUACGUGCCAGCAGCCGCGGUAAUACGUAGGGGGCAAGCGUUGUCCGGAUUUAUUGGGCGUAAAGGGUACGCAGGCGGCCAUAUAAGUCAGGUGUGAAAUCCUAUAGCUUAACUAUAGUAAGCACUUGAAACUGUGUGGCUUGAGUCAAGGAGAGGAAAGUGGAAUUCCUAGUGUAGCGGUGAAAUGCGUAGAUAUUAGGAGGAACACCAGUGGCGAAGGCGACUUUCUGGACUUGUACUGACGCUGAGGUACGAAAGCGUGGGGAGCAAACAGGAUUAGAUACCCUGGUAGUCCACGCCGUAAACGAUGAGUGCUAGGUGUCGGGGGUCAAACCUCGGUGCCGCCGUUAAC
rnacentral:rRNA from 1 species